rnacentral:rRNA from 1 species
CGGGUGAGUAAUGUAUGGGGAUCUGCCUGAUGGCGGGGGAUAACCACUGGAAACGGUAGCUAAUACCGCAUAAUGUCUGCGGACCAAAGCGGGGGACCUCCGGGCCUCGCGCCAUCAGAUGAACCCAUAUGGGAUUAGCUUGUAGGUAAGGUAACGGCUUACCUAGGCGACGAUCCCUAGCUGGUCUGAGAGGAUGAUCAGCCACACUGGGACUGAGACACGGCCCAG